rnacentral:rRNA from 1 species
AUUGAACGCUGGCGGCAGGCUUAACACAUGCAAGUCGAGCGGGGUGAUGGUGCUUGCACUAUCACUUAGCGGCGGACGGGUGAGUAAUGCUUAGGAAUCUGCCUAUUAGUGGGGGACAACAUCUCGAAAGGGAUGCUAAUACCGCAUACGUCCUACGGGAGAAAGCAGGGGAUCACUUGUGACCUUGCGCUAAUAGAUGAGCCUAAGUCGGAUUAGCUAGUUGGUGGGGUAAAAGCCUACCAAGGCGACGAUCUGUAGCGGGUCUGAGAGGAUGAUCCGCCACACUGGGACUGAGACACGGCCCAGACUCCUACGGGAGGCAGCAGUGGGGAAUAUUGGACAAUGGGGGAACCCUGAUCCAGCCAUGCCGCGUGUGUGAAGAAGGCCUUAUGGUUGUAAAGCACUUUAAGCGAGGAGGAGGCUCUUUUGGUUAAUACCCAAGAUGAGUGGACGUUACUCGCAGAAUAAGCACCGGCUAACUCUGUGCCAGCCGCCGCAGUAA